CGUUGGCUGCAUGUGCUAUGUGAUUGUUGCUGUUGGGAGCUUCGACGCUGAGACCGGCGGCUGAACUUAUGCUUGCUGUCGCUGUAUUUACGGUUGAGAAGUCACCAGGCAUGGCGGUGGUGAGUGGAGGGAACGGUGGUUGAGGUGGGGGUGGGUCCAUGAUGAGAUAGAAGGAGAGAAAUUUUCUUAUUUUUGUUCUAGACAAGAAAAAAAAAAUUCUGUUUCUAGAGACAGAUAGAAAAAGGACUAGGCUAAAUCGCUGAAGUGUAUGGU
rnacentral:misc_RNA from 1 species